AAGUGGGAGCUUCGGCGCAAG
rnacentral:snRNA from 1 species